GAUGAACGCUGACAGAAUGCUUAACACAUGCAAGUCGAUUCGAUUUACCUUCGGGUAUUGAGGAUGGCGGACGGGUGAGUAACGCGUAAGGAACUUGCCUCUUGGUCUGGGACAACUGUUGGAAACGACAGCUAAUACCGGAUAUUAUGAGAUUCUCGCAUGGGAAACUUAUGAAAGCUAUAUGCGCCAAGAGAGAGCCUUGCGUUCCAUUAGCUAGUUGGUGGGGUAACGGCCCACCAAGGCGACGAUGGAUAGCCGGCCUGAGAGGGUGAACGGCCACAAGGGGACUGAGACACGGCCCUUACUCCUACGGGAGGCAGCAGUGGGGAAUAUUGGNNNNNGNGNNNNNAGCCUGAUCCAGCAAUUCUGUGUGCACGAUGAAGGUCUUCGGAUUGUAAAGUGCUUUCAGUUGGGAAGAAGAAAGUGACGGUACCAACAGAAGAAGCGACGGCUAAAUACGUGCCAGCAGCCGCGGUAAUACGUAUGUCGCAAGCGUUAUCCGGAUUUAUUGGGCGUAAAGCGCGUCUAGGCGGAAAAANAAGUCUGA
rnacentral:rRNA from 1 species